UGGGGAAUUUUGGACAAUGGGCGCAAGCCUGAUCCAGCAAUGCCGCGUGCAGGAUGAAGGCCUUCGGGUUGUAAACUGCUUUUGUACGGAACGAAAAAGCUCUCUCUAAUACAGGGGGUGAAUGACGGUACCGUAAGAAUAAGCACCGGCUAACUACGUGCCAGCAGCCGCGGUAAUACGUAGGGUGCAAGCGUUAAUCAGAAUUACUGGGCGUAAAGCGUGCGCAGGCGGUUUUGUAAGACAGAGGUGAAAUCCCCGGGCUCAACCUGGGAACUGCCUUUGUGACUGCAAAGCUGGAGUGCGGCAGAGGGGGAUGGAAUUCCGCGUGUAGCAGUGAAAUGCGUAGAUAUGCGGAGGAACACCGAUGGCGAAGGCAAUCCCCUGGGCCUGCACUGACGCUCAUGCACGAAAGCGUGGGGAGCAAACA
rnacentral:rRNA from 1 species